CUUUUUUAUCAACUUCCUCUUGUCUUACACAUGCAAGUAUCUGCACACCCGUGAGAACGCCCUCCGCCCCUUCACCAGGACGAGGAGCCGGUAUCAGGCACAACUUUUGCCCACGACACCUAGCCACGCCACACCCAUAAGGGUAUUCAGCAGUGAUAAACAUUGUUUAUAAGCGACAGCUUGAACCAGACAAAGAGAACAGAGCCGGCCAACACGGUGCCAGCCGCCGCGGCUAUACCGUUGGGCUCAAGUUGACUAACAUCGGCGUUAAGCGUGAUUAAAGUGAAACCCCACCUUAGAGUUAAACCACAACCAAGUUGUGACACACUUGUUUCUGAGAAACCCAAAAACGAAAGUUACUCUAAUCCCACCACUUGACACCACGACAGCUAGGAAACAAACUGGGAUUAGGUACCCCACUAUGCCUAGCCGUAAAAUAUUAAUUCACACCUCAAAUCGCCAGGGAAUUACGAGCCCAAGCUUAAAACCCAAAGGACUUGACGGUGUCCCACCCACCUAGAGGAGCCUGUUCUAUAAUCGAUUCCCCCCGAUCCACCUCACCAUUUCUAGCCCCUCAGCCUGUAUACCUCCGUCGUAAGCUUACCAUGUGAACGAAACUAGUGAGCUAAAAGGCCCCCUUCGCCAACACGUCAGGUCAAGGUGCAGCUCACGAAAUGGGAAGAAAUGGGCUACAAUUUCUAACUUAGAACACACGAAAGACUACAUGAAACACAGUCAUGAAGGCGGAUUUAGUAGUAAAAAGAAAAUAGAGAGUUCUUUUUAAUAAGGCACUGGGACGCGUACACACCGCCCGUCACCCUCUUCAAAUGC
rnacentral:ncRNA from 1 species